UACGAAGGGGGCUAGCGUUGUUCGGAAUUACUGGGCGUAAAGCGCGCGCAGGCGGUCCUUUAAGUCAGGGGUGAAAUCCCGGGGCUCAACCCCGGAACUGCCUUUGAUACUGGUAGUCUCGAGUCCGGAAGAGGUGAGUGGAAUUCCGAGUGUAGAGGUGAAAUUCGUAGAUAUUCGGAGGAACACCAGUGGCGAAGGCGGCUCACUGGUCCGGUACUGACGCUGAGGUGCGAAAGCGUGGGGAGCAGACAGG
rnacentral:rRNA from 1 species